rnacentral:misc_RNA from 1 species
GCUACUACCGAUUGAAUGGUUAGUGAGGACUCCUGAUUGGCGCCGCCGCCCCGGCAACGGAGCAGCGGACUGCCGAAAAGCUGUUCAAACUUGAUCAUUUAGAGGAAGUAAAAGUCGUAACAAGGUUUCCGUAGGUGAACCUGCAGAAGGAUCAAGAUCGGAAAAGCCCCCGGUUUGAAUUCAGUCCCUAGGCCUUAUCUCGUUUUCCGGCCUACGGCUGUAAAAAAAACGAUACGCAAGCCCAACAAAAUACUUACAGCAUGCACCCUUUGUAUCU